GAUGGAUGGAUGGAUGGAUGGACGGACGGAUGGACGGAUAGGACACCAAGGGGGAGGAGAUGCCCUCAAAGAAGUCGGCAAUCCGAUCGCACAUGUCGAAGUUUUUAAAGGAAAAGAAAGCAGUGACCUUGAACCGUGGACCUAAUGGUCUUUAAAUAUAGAUGGAUGCGUGUGUUCCUGGGGCAGAUGGCCAUGAUGCUUUGCUAUGCAUAUGGCUCACUGAUUAUGUCUCCAGCAGGGUGUCAGAACUGAUGAGGCAGCACUGGAGCAGAGUGUUGUGCCAUUUGCAUUGGAGCUUUACUGCUUAGUUGCAUGGAUGGCCACACUGCGUCUCUUAAUGUCAGAGGGCGAAUCUUGAAAACAAACAUGUGUCAGAGUCGAGCCUUCAGGACUGCUUUCAGUGCGGUUUUCUUGGUGGAAAAAAGUUUUUUAAUGUACUAGAGUAGUCUGAACAUUCUAAUGAUCUAAAUUUUGAAUUUAAAAGUGUUUAAGAGCUAUUGCAGAUGUUAGAAUGUCAUUGUAAUGAAUUAUGGUGAGUCCUUGUACUUGUUUUGUACUGAUUACUUUAACAGAUUUUGAGAACUGUACACAUCAUAGCCACGUCAUGUUAAAUAAUCCUUCCGCUGGGAUAAAGUACUCCAACUUUCGCUGUACAUUUUUAGAUUGUUCCCUGUAUAUUCUGACUUAGAUGGCAGAAUUUUAGAAAUGGAUUUUCAUAGUUGAUAAUAAUCCUGUCAUCUUUUCUAAAUAUUUCCUUUGUUUUCAUUUGUACUUGUUCGUAGUUUUUAUU